rnacentral:rRNA from 1 species
UACGUAGGGGGCAAGCGUUGUCCGGAAUCAUUGGGCGUAAAGCGCGUGUAGGCGGCUCGAUAAGUCUGCUGUGAAAGUCCAGGGCUCAACCCUGGGAUGCCGGUGGAUACUGUCGGGCUCGAGUCCGGAAGAGGCGAGUGGAAUUCCUGGUGUAGCGGUGAAAUGCGCAGAUAUCAGGAGGAACACCAAUGGCGAAGGCAGCUCGCUGGGACGGUACUGACGCUGAGACGCGAAAGCGUGGGGAGCGAACAGG